rnacentral:rRNA from 1 species
GAUGAACGCUGGCGGUGUGCCUAAUACAUGCAAGUCGAACGGGCUCUUCGGAGCUAGUGGCGGACGGGUGAGUAACACGUUGGUACCUACCCCUAAGUGGGGAAUAACUGCCCGAAAGGGUGGCUAAUACCGCAUAAUCCCGCAAGGGUAAAGCAGUAAUGCGCUUAGGGAGGGGCCUGUGUCUGAUUAGCUAGUUGGUAGGGUAAUUGCCUACCAAGGCGACGAUCAGUAGCUGGAUCGAGAGGUUGACCAGCCACACUGGGACUGAGAUACGGCCCAGACUCCUACGGGAGGCAGCAGUAAGGAAUCUUCCACAAUGGACGAAAGUCUGAUGGAGCAACACCGCGUGCAGGAUGACGGUCUUCGGAUUGUAAACUGCUUUUAUAUGGGAAGAUUAUGACGGUACCAUAUGAAUAAGGACCGGCUAACUACGUGCCAGCCGCCGCAGUAA